GAGCGGUUGAUUCGUCCUGCAUGUGGAAAUUGGCGGACAUAAGAAAGGCAAAAAGCCGAGAAAUCAUAAAAUCUCGGAUGGCGAAGC
rnacentral:sRNA from 12 species